UACGGCCAUAUAGCGUUGAAAAACCGGUUCCCAUACGAUCACCUAAGUUAAGCAAUAUCGAUAUUGCUCAGUCCCUAUAUAAGUGACCACUUGGGAAUACCAGGUGCUGUAG